rnacentral:rRNA from 1 species
CCUACGGGAGGCAGCAGUGGGGAAUUUUGGACAAUGGGCGCAUGCCUGAUCCAGCAAUGCCGCGUGCAGGAUGAAGGCCUUCGGGUUGUAAACUGCUUUUGUACGGAACGAAACGGUCCUUUCUAAUACAAGGGGCUAAUGACGGUACCGUAAGAAUAAGCACCGGCUAACUACGUGCCAGCAGCCGCGGUAAUACGUAGGGUGCGAGCGUUAAUCGGAAUUACUGGGCGUAAAGCGUGCGCAGGCGGUUAUAUAAGACAGAUGUGAAAUCCCCGGGCUCAACCUGGGACCUGCAUUUGUGACUGUAUAGCUAGAGUACGGUAGAGGGGGAUGGAAUUCCGCGUGUAGCAGUGAAAUGCGUAGAUAUGCGGAGGAACACCGAUGGCGAAGGCAAUCCCCUGGACCUGUACUGACGCUCAUGCACGAAAGCGUGGGGAGCAAACAGGAUUAGAUACCCUGGUAGUCCACGCCCUAAACGAUGUCAACUGGUUGUUGGGUCUUCACUGACUCAGUAACGAAGCUAAACGCGUGAAGUUGACCGCCUGGGGAGUACGGCCGCAAGGUUGAAAACUCAAAAUGAAUUGACGG